UGAAACCGUUCAGGGGUAAACCUGAGAAACCCGAAAGGUCGAAAKKRRAAANUCAUUCGCGUDACGAUYGUCGGCGCGGGGCGAUCGUGCGACGGAGGGCGCAUUGUGCACCCGACGCUCCUUCCGUCCCGUCGAAUCGGCGUCGAACGCGUGCACUUUUACCCUUGUAGGACGUCGCGAUCCGUUGGGUGCCGAUCUAAGGCCCGCGGUGGAGACCGGAGGAAACGGUUCGUCCUUUUCCUCCGGACCCGCGGUGUUUUUCCCGGUCGGCUCGCUCGACGGUAUACAGAUGGCGCGGGACCGCUGUUCCGCCGCGCGCUCGCGCGCGCGGUCGAUAAGCGUCCGGCCCGUCGCAAGCGCGCCGGAGUGUCGACGAUCGGACCUGGUGCCGGUCCCGACCCCCGGUGACUGUAGGCGACGGUGUUC
rnacentral:rRNA from 1 species